AACGAACGCUGGCGGCAGGCUUAACACAUGCAAGUCGAGCGCCCCGCAAGGGGAGCGGCAGACGGGUGAGUAACACGUGGGGAUCUGCCCAAUGGUACGGAAUAGCUCCGGGAAACUGGAAUUAAUACCGUAUGUGCCCGCAAGGGGAAAGAUUUAUCGCCAUGGGAUGAACCCGCGUCGGAUUAGCUAGUUGGUGCGGUAAAGGCGCACCAAGGCGAUGAUCCGUAGCUGGUCUGAGAGGAUGAUCAGCCACACUGGGACUGAGACACGGCCCAGACUCCUACGGGAGGCAGCAGUGGGGAAUAUUGGACAAUGGGCGCAAGCCUGAUCCAGCCAUGCCGCGUGAGGGAUGAAGGCCUUAGGGUUGUAAAGCUCUUUCGCCGACGAAGAUAAUGACGGUAGUCGGAGAAGAAGCCCCGGCUAACUUCGUGCCAGCCGCCGCCGUAA
rnacentral:rRNA from 1 species